rnacentral:rRNA from 1 species
GACGAACGCUGGCGGCGUGCUUAACACAUGCAAGUCGAACGGAAAGGCCCUGCUUUUGUGGGGUGCUCGAGUGGCGAACGGGUGAGUAACACGUGAGUAACCUGCCCUUGACUUUGGGAUAACUUCAGGAAACUGGGGCUAAUACCGGAUAGGAGCUCCUGCUGCAUGGUGGGGGUUGGAAAGUUUCGGCGGUUGGGGAUGGACUCGCGGCUUAUCAGCUUGUUGGUGGGGUAGUGGCUUACCAAGGCUUUGACGGGUAGCCGGCCUGAGAGGGUGACCGGCCACAUUGGGACUGAGAUACGGCCCAGACUCCUAGUGGAGGCAGCGGUGGGGAAUAUUGCACAAUGGGCGGAAGCCUGAUGCAGCAACGCCGCGUGCGGGAUGACGGCCUUCGGGUUGUAAACCGCUUUCGCCUGUGACGAAGCGUGAGUGACGGUAAUGGGUAAAGAAGCACCGGCUAACUACGUG